UAUUAGCCCUGGGGCUGCGCAGCUGCAGGUGAGUAAUCAGAUUUCUGCGGCGUCCUGUUUUCUCCGCUGCCUGGCGGUUCCUCGACACCCACUCACCUGCCACCAGCCACUGGAGGGAGGGCAGGCAGAAGGGAGGAUGGGCGUGGGGACCGCCUGGGUCCUUCGCCCACGCCCACGCCAGCACACCCGCGGAGAACGGUGCACCUGCUGAGCUCGCUGCGGGACGCUCCGCUUUCACUGCGGCUAUAGGGAGGGGCCGCCCACUCGCAGGCGGCUCCUCCCUGGUCCCGAGCCCGAGCCGAGGAUCGCAAGGUGGAUCCAGAGGCCUGCCGGUUACGAGCCAAGCUGGGAGGCCGAGGAUGUGGCUCAGAAUGCUUGCUGAGCAUGCACACAAAAUUCCAGGCUGUAGGGCUCCUGCAGCAAUAAACAAAAAACAAAAACAAAUAAAGCCGGUUAAGAGAAGGCUGGCAGAACUCUUCGUGGAACCCAAGGCGAUCUGAACCAAGGAGGUGAUACAGAGGAGUGAGGAAAGACAAAUGCACCAGCACAAGAACCUUCUGGAACAGAGCAGUGAACAGGAGAAUCCUGGGAGCAACACAAGGUCAAAGUAUAGGAGAGGGGCAGGCACAGCGGGAGAGGGGCGGGCACAGUGGGAGAGGGGCGGGCACAGUGGGAGAGGGGGCGGGGACAACACUGACUGGUUUGUUGAACCUGGAACUGAAUAAGGAGAGAUGGCGUUUGAAACCUCCAUUACUGCCACUAAAGUAACUGCCGGUGUCAGACAGCAGAGCUGCACAGAGGAGAGCGAGGAACUAUUAAUCAAUCAUCUUGGUUUUGCCAGAAACUUGCUUCAAACUAGUUUAGAAAAAAUAAAAGGAAGUUAAAAGU